CGGGACGUAGCGCAGCUUGGUAGCGCACAUGGCUGGGGGUCAUGUGGUCGCGGGUUCAAAUCCCGCCGUCCCGACGA
rnacentral:tRNA from 1 species